UACGUAUGGUGCAAGCGUUAUCCGGAUUUACUGGGUGUAAAGGGAGCGCAGGCGGUGCGGCAAGUCUGAUGUGAAAACCCGGGGCCCAACCCCGGUACUGCAUUGGAAACUGCCGGACUGGAGUGUCGGAGGGGCAAGUGGAAUUCCUAGUGUAGCGGUGAAAUGCGUAGAUAUUAGGAGGAACACCAGUGGCGAAGGCGGCUUGCUGGACGAUGACUGACGCUGAGGCUCGAAAGCGUGGGGAGCAA
rnacentral:rRNA from 1 species